CUACGGGUUGCACCAGGCGAGAAAACUUUGCAAUGUGCGAAAGCACGACAAGGUUAAUCCGAGUGGUUUGUGCUAAACGAACCUUUUGACAGUCCUAGAAACACUGUUGAAUAAGGGGUGGGCAAGUUCUGGUGUCAGCCGCCGCGGUAAAACCAGCACCUCAAGUGGUCAGGAUGAUUAUUGGGCCUAAAGCAUCCGUAGCCGGCUCUGUAAGUUUUCGGUUAAAUCUGUACGCUCAACGUACAGGCUGCCGGGAAUACUGCAGAGCUAGGGAGUAGGAGAGGUAGACGGACUCGGUAGGAAGGGGUAAAAUCCUUUGAUCUAUUGAUGACCACCUGUGGCGAAGGCGGUCUACCAGAACACGUCCGACGGUGGGGGAUGAAAGCUGGGGGAGCAAACCGGAUUAGAUACCCCCGUAGUC
rnacentral:rRNA from 1 species